rnacentral:rRNA from 1 species
AUGGCGGUGCCGAUUGGGUCGCUGCUGCCUCCAGCGAGCCGCCACAGUAGACCAGCCACCGCACUGCCGCUCCAAUCCGACAAGGCCGACGUCAGGGUUGACCUCCAUGACAGAUCUGCACAAAAGGUCCUAAUGAUGGCUCUGCGGAGCAACGACGCGAGUAGCAGUAUGCACAGUCUUCCCGACAGGGAGAGCAACGGUGUCGGUGGCGGCGACAGGAGAAAAGGGGAAGGAAAGGCGAUGGGAGCGCGAUGGAUCAGAGGCGGCUCACCUCGGGUUGUCCUCUUCCCGGAGGAGCACAAACUUGAGGACACGCUCCGGUGCUCCUCGCGUUGA